CGUUGAUCCUGGCAGAGGCUAUUGCUAUCAGGGUUUGACUAAGCCAUGCGAGUCGAGAGGUGAAAGACCUCGGCAUACUGCUCAGUAACACGUGGAUAAUCUGCCCUCAGAAGAAGAAUAAUCCCGGGAAACUGGGGCUAAUACUUCAUAGGAGACGGGUGCUGGAAUGCUCUGUCUCUGAAAGGUCCGCCGUCUGAGGAUGAGUCUGCGUCCGAUUAGGUUGUUGUUGGGGUAACGGCCCAACAAGCCUUUGAUCGGUACGGGUUGUGGGAGCAAGAGCCCGGAGAUGGAUUCUGAGACAUGAAUCCAGGCCCUACGGGGCGCAGCAGGCGCGAAAACUUUACAAUGCGAGCAAUCGUGAUAAGGAAACCCUGAGUGCCUGUCAACGCAGGCUGUUCUGGUGUCCAACACACACCAGGAGAAAGGGCGGGGCAAGACCGGUGCCAGCCGCCGCGGUAAUACCGGCUGCUCGAGUGAUAGCCACUUUUACUGGGCUUAAA
rnacentral:rRNA from 1 species